rnacentral:rRNA from 1 species
GCAUAUCAAUAAGCGGAGGAAAAGAAAAUAACAAUGAUUCCCUUAGUAACGGCGAGUGAAGGGGGAAAAGCUCAAAUUUUAAAUCGGCGUAGGUUCUACCUGGUCGAGUUGUAAUUUGAAGAAGCGUUUUCCGCGUCCAGGUUGGCCCAAAUCCUUUGGGAUAAGGUAUCAUGGAGGGUGAGAAUCCCGUCCGGUUGACCUUCUAGGACGUUUUACGAUACGCUCUCAAAGAGUCGAGUUGUUUGGGAUUGCAGCUCAAAAUGGGAGGUAAAUUUCUCCUAAGGCUAAAUACAGGCGAGAGACCGAUAGCGAACAAGUACCGUGAGGGAAAGAUGAAAAGAAUUUUGAAAAGAAAGUUAAACAGUACGUGAAAUUGUUGAAAGGGAAACGAUUGAAGCCAGUCGUACCGACGGGAAAUCAACUUCUCGAGUGCCUAUCGUGGGUGACGUUGAGCUUCACGGCCUUCGUUGCUUGUGUUGUUGGUGCUUUUGGGGUGUACUUUUCCGUAUGGUAGGUCACCAUCGAUUUUGAUCGUCAUAAAAUGAUCGGGGGAAUGUAGCUUCGGUCUCGUAUCGGAGUGUUAUAGACCUUGGUAGAUGUGACGGUUGGGAUCGAGGAUUGCAACGAAUACCCUUUUGGGCUAUCCGUCUGUCCUCUGAAAGUCGCUCGGGAGUUGAAAGCGUGCUUAUGACUAUUCGAGUUGGCGGUCAAUAGGUUAGAACGUGAUUAUAUUCGUUAAGGAUGUGUUGACGUAAUGGCUUUAAACGAC